rfam:Danio rerio chromosome 4, GRCz11 reference primary assembly.
GCUUACGGCCAUACCACCCUGGAAAUGCUCGAUCUCAUCUGAACUCGGAAGUAAAGCAGGGUCGGGCCUGGUUAGUACUUGGAUGGGAGACCGCCUGGGAAUACCAGGUGCUGUAAGCU